rnacentral:lncRNA from 1 species
UUUUUUUCUUUUUAACUCUUUUGUGCUAGAAGAGAUAGAGGCAAUGGGUGAUGCAACAUUAGCGAGGACAGGUGCAGCCAUUAGCGACCCUACCAGUUUGGUAAGCUCGCACUUUCUCUCAACAACCAUCUUCUACCAUGCAAUGGAUCUGCCAUGCAAUGGGAUGAGUUGUUCCCCGCGCUUGCCCAUGACUCCUUUUCAGGCCCCACUCCACCGUGACACCCUACACCUUCUAAACAUGAAUCUUUCCAAGUCUUUUCUUCCUUUCAGCUUUUUUGGCCGUUUCUGUUCAUCCAAUGGCUACUGAAAUUUGAAG